rnacentral:rRNA from 1 species
CCUACGGGAGGCUGCAGUGGGGAAUAUUGGGCAAUGGGCGCAAGCCUGACCCAGCAACGCCGCGUGAAGGAAGAAGGCUUUCUGGUUGUAAACUUCUUUUCUUAGGGACGAAAAACGUGACGGUCCCGCAGGACUACGCCACGCCUAACUACGGGCCAGCGGCCGCGGUAAUACGUAGGUGGCAAGCGUUAUCCGGAUUUAUUGGGUGUAAAGGGCGUGUAGGCGGGAAGGCAAGUCAGAUGUGAAAACUCAGGGCUCAACCCUGAGCCUGCAUUUGAAACUGUUUUUCUUGAGUGCUGGAGAGGCAAUCGGAAUUCCGUGUGUAGCGGUGAAAUGCGUAGAUAUACGGAGGAACACCAGUGGCGAAGGCGGAUUGCUGGACAGUAACUGACGCUGAGGCGCGAAAGCGUGGGGAGCAAACAGGAUUAGAUACCCCUGUAGUC